rnacentral:lncRNA from 1 species
GUUCCAAGUAAAUUUGCAUGUGCCAUUCUCUAAACCUUCAAGAAAUUAUCUGUAUUGCAUGCCCGAACCGCUCAUGUGGUGACAGGGGCUAUUGGUAUCUUCCAUGUUAGGCGUGUUAUCCUCGACAUGUGUUUAUUCACUGUCAUUCACGAGAAAGGGGCCGGUAAUUGGAAUGCCUAGUUCCACGCUUAAAUCGAAAACAUAACUGUAAAACAAGACUCCCCCUGGAUUGAUGUUAGUAUGGACGGUACCCGAGGAUUCGGCUAGCCGUGGAGUGUGAUUGAUUGGUGGUGGGGGAGUUAAAACUUUACUUUUCUGUUUGGGAACCGCCUAUAGUAUGAGUAGCG